UAAUCCUAUUUAAAUCAAAAACUGAAGGACAGCAAAAAACAUUGCCCGAUUUAUUCUUUACGAUUCUCUCUCUCUCUCUCUCUGUACACCCUAAUUAAGUCUUAGUUACUGUUUUGUGUGGAAUCACGAUGACAAAAUCAACCACCUGUGAAGAAAACGAAAGGAUGUUGUGCGGCCACUGCGGGGUUAAAACUCCCAUCCGCCGUGAAGGAAACUCCGGCACCGUCAAGACGUGUGAUUGGUGUGGAAAAGUGUUGGCAGAUGAGACUGGAACCGUUGAAGAAUAUAAUGAACUCUUCCUUCGACGUCAAUAUUUCCAAAAAUUGGUUUCUAAAUUCAAAAAGAGAAAGCGACAACGUAUUAGAGAACGUUAAACUGAUGUUAUUGUCUUUAAGCCUUAAUCUUUUGGUGAACGCAACUAUCAGCAGCAGCGAUUGAAAAUUUAAGCUAUUACCACGGCAAAACACAGCAUAAGACAGACGCACUCAUGAAAUAACGCCAGCCUGCUUUUCUUGAUGCUGUGGCUGAUCGCGUGGAUUAAAAAGAACGCUGAAUAUAUUUCAGCGUCACUUCUCAUAUUUUGUACUUUCGGCAGUUCAUUAGCGUCUAUUUUUAUUUUUCGUACUGUUAAAUUUGCUUCAGUUACUCUAUAAUUUUCAGUCUUUUGAAAGCGUUCCUCGGGGGCGAAUUAAGCGUCGACUGAGCGACGUUCAUCAAAAGAACAGAGCUAUAACAAACUGAUUGUAUUUUCUCUUCUUGUUAAGAUUUGUUCAGAUGUACAUAUUUAUUUAUUUA